rnacentral:rRNA from 1 species
AUUGAACGCUGGCGGCAUGCCUAACACAUGCAAGUCGAACGGGAUCCUAGCUUGCUAGGUGAGAGUGGCGGACGGGUGAGUAACACGUGGGAAUCUGCCUUUUGGUUCGGGAUAACCGCGGGAAACUGCGGCUAAUACCGGAUGCUCUCGAGAGGGAAAAGAUUUAUCGACAGAAGAGGAGCCCGCGUCCGAUUAGGUAGUUGGUUGGGUAAUGGCCUACCAAGCCAACGAUCGGUAGCUGGUCUGAGAGGAUGAUCAGCCACACUGGGACUGAGAUACGGACCAGACUCCUACGGGAGGCAGCAGUGGGGAAUAUUGGACAAUGGGGGCAACCCUGAUCCAGCAAUGCCGCGUGAGUGAUGAAGGCCUUAGGGUUGUAAAGCUCUUUUGCCGGGGAAGAUGAUGACUGUACCUGGAGAAUAAGCCCCGGCUAACUUCGUGCCAGCAGCCGCAGUAA